rfam:Streptomyces scabrisporus strain NF3 contig3, whole genome shotgun sequence.
UUUCACCGAGCCGAUCCACAGCGGCCGUUCGAAGUCCCGGCCGCCGCCGUAGGUGGCGAUCAGCGCCCGGGCCUC